CCCUGCCCUAUGAUUAAUAAUUAAAUGGCUGCAGUAUUUUGACUGUGCAAAGGUAGCAUAAUCAUUAGUCUUUUAAUUGAAGUCUUGUAUGAAUGGGUUAAUGAGAUAUUAAUUUUAUUUUUUAAAUUAUUAUAAUUUAAUUUAUAAGUAAGAAAUCUUAUAAUUUUUUUUGGGACGAUAAGACCCUAUAGAACUUUAUUAAAAAUUUAAAUUAGUUGUUUUUAUUUAUUAAAUCUAAUUAUUUAUAAUUAAUAAUUUAGUUGGGGUGACUAAUAAAUUGAACUUUAUUUUAUAUUCUCAUUUAUUUAUGUAAUAUUGAUCCAUUAUUCAUAUGAUUAUAAGAAAAAGUUACCUUAGGGAUAACAGCGUAAUUUUGAUGAAGAGUUCAUAUCUAUAUUAAAGUUUGCGACCUCGAUGUUGAAUUAAGAUAAGGUUGAGGGGUAG
rnacentral:rRNA from 1 species